rnacentral:rRNA from 1 species
UACGGGGGGAGCAAGCGUUGUUCGGAUUUACUGGGCGUAAAGGGCGCGUAGGCGGUCAGCACAAGUCAGUUGUGAAAUCUCCGGGCUUAACUCGGAAAGGUCAACUGAUACUGUGCGGCUAGAGUGCGGAAGGGGCAACUGGAAUUCUUGGUGUAGCGGUGAAAUGCGUAGAUAUCAAGAGGAACACCUGCGGCGAAGGCGGGUUGCUGGGCCGACACUGACGCUGAUGCGCGAAAGCUAGGGGAGCGAACGGG